rnacentral:rRNA from 1 species
AUUGAACGCUGGCGGAAUGCUUUACACAUGCAAGUCGAACGGCAGCACGGACUUCGGUCUGGUGGCGAGUGGCGAACGGGUGAGUAAUAUAUCGGAACGUGCCCAGUCGUGGGGGAUAACGUAGUGAAAAUUACGCUAAUACCGCAUACGAUCUACGGAUGAAAGCGGGGGAUCGCAAGACCUCGCGCGAUUGGAGCGGCCGAUAUCAGAUUAGGUAGUUGGUGGGGUAAAGGCUCACCAAGCCAACGAUCUGUAGCUGGUCUGAGAGGACGACCAGCCACACUGGGACUGAGACACGGCCCAGACUCCUACGGGAGGCAGCAGUGGGGAAUUUUGGACAAUGGACGCAAGUCUGAUCCAGCCAUUCCGCGUGCAGGACGAAGGCCUUCGGGUUGUAAACUGCUUUUGUACAGAACGAAAAGGUUUCUAUUAAUACUAGGAGCUCAUGACGGUACUGUAAGAAUAAGCACCGGCUAACUACGUGCCAGCAGCCGCGGUAA